CGCUAUCGCUAUUUCCUUGUAGGUCCAAAAUGGAGACGUUUAUAUCAACGUCAUGGCCUGGAAGGGGACCAACAUUCUCUCACAUUCUGGGCUUUCCGGAAGGUGCGACCUGAAAGCCUUUGCUUUGUCAUCACUUGGAGAAGGUUGCCUGCCAGGUAAUCACGAAAGGACAAGCAGAAGUCGUAGUUAGAUAUGGGAUAUUGCAGCAUGCCAGCAUGAAAGGGUGUACUAAAUCAAUGACAUUUGUUUAGGUUGGAUAAGCAAUAGGAAUGAUGGUUCAGGAAAUUGCUUUUGGUUUCAUCAAUUAAUGUUCCUAUUUCCCCAGUUUCUGCUUCAUAAUGCAGACUAGUGUACUGAUAAUCAGAACUCCUUGCUAGCUUAAAAAGUUCAAUCUUUUCAUUCAUUAAAUUGUCCCUAUAGCUUUCCAGUGCUAAGGCAAAUUAAGAAAGAAUCUCACGAAACAUAUAUGCAGAAAUUGCAAUGAAUAGUUUACUGUAGCACGUAAGAGAUGAAAGCCAACAUUACCCAAUCUCAUGAAACAUAUAUGCAGAUAAUUAGUUUACUGUAGCAUGUAAGAGAUCAAAGCCAACAUUACCCAAUAAGGGUAUUGCUGCAAACAGCUCAAGGUUGCAUAAAAUUCUGUAAAGUGAUCACCUUUAAAGUAUUCUAGACUAAUUUUGUAUGGAUAUGUGCUGAUAAUAUUAGAAGAAAAAGAGGGAUAAAAUGUCAAAUGUCAAAAUGAAAGAUAACCUGAGAGUAACUAGACAUUCACAUACUGGAAUUUAAGACAAAUCGGAGCAGGCUCUGGAUCCGACCCGCGCGAGGAUCUAGUCCUUUUAGACGAUUUUCUGGUCCGAUGUGGAUGCUCCAGCUCGAGUACACGGCAAUCGACAGAGAGGGAGGGAGGGAGAAGAAGAGGAAGAAGAAAAGGGCGCGCUUUGCUCGAGCAUCUUGGCGCAAUCUGUUCAAACACGUGUGAUUUAUUUUGUUUUUGGAACCACACGUGAGAACGUAUAAAAUGAAGAAGUGUUUCUCUGAGGAAAAAAAAAGGCAAAAAAAAUAUGAGAAUCCAAUAAUACCCCCUUCUCUAACUGGUUCUGUAACCGGUAACGCAGCAGGAUAAAAACGACAUUAG
rnacentral:lncRNA from 1 species